CGUAUUCAUACGGGACUUCACCACAGAAUUUUUGGCGGGAAAAUUUGUAAAGACUGAAAUGUUUGGAGAAGACAAGAUGGCGCAGGUUACUUCGAAUCAUCAAAGGGCAUUUUUGUUCAUAAAUACCCGCUUAUUUUACGUUAUAACGACUGGUUAGUUUUGGAAAUUAUAACUCAAUGGACAGGGAAACGAUUUUGUAGUAAAGAGAAAAAAGUACGUGCAGUUAUUGACUUAUAAUUUGUUGUGAAAGACGGC